rnacentral:tRNA from 1 species
GCCGAUGUAGCUCAGCUGGUAGAGCAACUGUUUCGUAAAUAGUAGGUCGCAGGUUCGAAUCCUGUCAUCGGCACCA